UACAGAGGUCCCAAGCGUUGUUCGGAUUCACUGGGCGUAAAGGGUGCGUAGGUGGCGGGGUAAGUCAGACGUGAAAUCCCUCAGCUUAACUGGGGAACUGCGUCUGAUACUGGAUGGCUUGAGUUUGGGAGAGGGAUGCGGAAUUCCAGGUGUAGCGGUGAAAUGCGUAGAUAUCUGGAGGAACACCGGUGGCGAAGGCGGCAUCCUGGACCAACACUGACACUGAGGAGCGAAAGCCAGGGAGCAAACGGG
rnacentral:rRNA from 1 species